rnacentral:rRNA from 1 species
UACAGAGGGUGCGAGCGUUAAUCGGAAUUACUGGGCGUAAAGCGCGCGUAGGCGGCUUUGCAAGUCGGGUGUGAAAUCCCCAGGCUUAACCUGGGAACUGCAUUCGAGACUGCAUAGCUAGAGUAUCGGAGAGGGAAGUGGAAUUUCAGGUGUAGCGGUGAAAUGCGUAGAUAUCUGAAGGAACAUCAGUGGCGAAAGCGACUUCCUGGACGAAUACUGACGCUCAUGUGCGAAAGCGUGGGGAGCAAACAGG